rnacentral:rRNA from 1 species
AGAAUCAACGCUGGCGGCGUGCCUCAGACAUGCAAGCCGAACGCGAAAGUCUCCUUCGGGGGACAAGUAGAGUGGCGCACGGGUGAGUAACACGUAGGUAAUCUACCUUCGGAUGGGGAAUAACAACCGGAAACGGUUGCUAAUACCGCAUAAUGCAGCGGCACCUAAUGGUGACAGUUGUUAAAGCGGGGGAUCGAAAGACCUCGCGUCUGAAGAGGAGCCUGCGGCGGAUUAGCUAGUUGGUAGGGUAACGGCCUACCAAGGCGACGAUCCGUA